rnacentral:ncRNA from 2 species
AAACACUUCAGGGAUAGGUGAAAUUCCUUACCGGCGGUAGGCAUGAAAAUGCGAGCCCGCGAGCGAAAGCAGAUCCGGUCAGAUUCCGGAGCCGACAGUACAGUCUGGAUGGAAGAUAGUGUAU